rnacentral:rRNA from 1 species
AACGAACGCUGGCGGCAUGCCUAACACAUGCAAGUCGAACGAGACUUUCUGUUCUAGUGGCGCCCGGGUGCGUAAUGCGUGGGAACCUGCCCUUAUGUUCUUCAUAACUCCCCGAAAGGGGUUCUACUACCGGAUAAUGUCUUCGGACCAAAGAUUUAUCGCCUUUGGAUGGGCCCGCGUUCGAUUAGCUAGUUGGUAGGGUAAAAGCCUACCAAGGCGACGAUCCAUAGCUGGUCUGAGAGGAUGAUCAGCCACACUGGGACUGAGACACGGCCCAGACUCCUACGGGAGGAAGCAGUGGGGAAUAUUGGACAAUGGGCGAAAGCCUGAUCCAGCAAUGCCGCGUGAGUGAUGAAGGCCUUAGGGUUGUAAAGCUCUUUUACCCGGGAUGAUAAUGACAGUACCGGGAGAAUAAGCUCCGGCUAACUCCGUG